rnacentral:pre_miRNA from 1 species
AUCACCUAUGGAUGUUGUUAAAAUUCAGAUUCAGAUUCAGUGUGAGGUGAUUCAGUGUGAGGGCCUGAGAUUUUGCAUUUCUAACAAGCUCUCAGGUGAUGCUGA